rnacentral:rRNA from 1 species
UACGUAGGGGGGCAAGCGUUUGUCCGGAUUUAUUGGGCGUAAAGAGCGUGUAGGCGGCCAUACAGGUCAGCUGUGAAAACUCGAGGCUCAAACCUCGAGAUCCGUCGGGUUGAAAACCGUAUGGCUAGAGUCCGGGAAAGAGGAGAGUGGGAAAUUUCCCCGGGUGUAGCGGUGAAAAUGCGCAGAUAUCGGGGAAGAACACCCCGUGGCGAAGGCGGCUCUCUGGGACG